CCUACGGGAGGCAGCAGUAAGGAGUAUUGGUCAAUGGAGGCAACUCUGAACCAGCCAUGCCGCGUGCAGGAAGAAGGCCCUAUGGGUCGUAAACUGCUUUUGUACCAGAGAAAACCCGAGUACGUGUACUCGGUUGAUAGUAUGGUAAGAAUAAGCAUCGGCUAACUUCGUGCCAGCAGCCGCGGUAAGACGAAGGAUGCAAGCGUUAUCCGGAUUCAUUGGGUUUAAAGGGUGCGUAGGCGGACUGAUAAGUCAGUGGUGAAAUCUCUCGGCUUAACCGAGAAACUGCCAUUGAUACUGUUAGUCUAGAGUAUAGAUGACGUUGGCGGAAUAUGACAUGUAGUGGUGAAAUACUUAGAUAUGUCAUAGAACACCGAUUGCGAAGGCAGCUAACGAAACUAUAACUGACGCUGAGGCACGAAAGUGNGGGAGUACAACAAGAUAGUAUACCUACGUAGUCGCACCGUAACGAAUAGAUACUACGUUGUUGUGAUAUANACGUCAGCGACCGAACGACGAAAGACGAGAAAGUAAAUACCACCUCGGGUAGGUACGGCCGGCGAACGGUUAGGUUAAACGUUAAAAUUAAGUUAAGUUAGUAGGCGUUGAGAGAGCCGACGGACGACGACGAAGGGGAAGGAGGAGG
rnacentral:rRNA from 1 species